AGGCUCGCGAGAAGCCAUGUUUGCACAUGUGGGCAGGGUCGGUGCUGCUAUCUGUGGCUCUGCAGGCACAUUGAUUGUACGGAAAAAGGGGGCGAGGCCUAGUAGAGAGGCAACGCCGAGCGCAACGCUAGGAGGACGUCUCACUUCUCCACACUUCACUCACAGUGGCUGCGAGGCUGUUCCCGUAUUCGGUUAAAACUACGUCACUUCCGGACUGGUCGGAUCGCGCUCGUCGGUAUUGCUCUCGACGAUAUUCCGACCGAAUUUAUGUUUGAAAAAUUCUGAAAUACAUCAAGUCCGAUCGACUUCGAUGCGGAUUGACAUAGAUACGUUGAAAUGAAAGAGGGAAAAAAGAGUCGAAGUUAUCGACUGAUGGAUUAAGUCCUCAAUGGUCAUCGAACAGAUUUACCGAGUAAAAAUGUGAAUAUUUCAAGUAUCGUUAUUAUUAGUCCACGAUGCAGAUACCCGCUCAAGAUAAUCCCGACCUCUUUCAAUUCAUAUCCAUGUCACGGGGUAUUAAAGAUUCAGCAUCUUUUCGUCUAUUUACCCUUUAUUUCGGAUCAAGUUAGUCUCCGCUGACGGUAAAUGGAUAAAUUGGAUUUACGAUAUUAUGCUCGUAAUUAAAUAAAGCUUAUUAUUCGAUCAAA